GACGAACGCUGGCGGCGUGCCUAAUACAUGCAAGUUGAGCGCUGAAGGUUGGUACUUGUGCCAACUGGAUGAGCAGCGAACGGGUGAGUAACGCGUGGGGAAUCUGCCUUUGAGCGGGGGACAACAUUUGGAAACGAAUGCUAAUACCGCAUAAAAACUUUAAACACAAGUUUUAAGUUUGAAAGAUGCAAUUACAUCACUCAAAGAUGAUCCCGCGUUGUAUUAGCUAGUUGGUGAGGUAAAGGCUCACCAAGGCGAUGAUACAUAGCCGACCUGAGAGGGUGAUCGGCCACAUUGGGACUGAGACACGGCCCAAACUCCUACGGGAGGCAGCAGGAGGGAAUCUUCGGCAAUGGACGGAAGUCUGACCGAGCAACGCCGCGUGAGUGAAGAAGGUUUUCGGAUCGUAAAACUCGGUUGGUAGAGAAGAACGUUGGUGAGAGUGGAAAGCUCAUCAAGUGACGGUAACUACCCAGAAGGGGACGGCUAACUACGUG
rnacentral:rRNA from 1 species